CUAUCGCCAGCUAUCUAAUCUUUAGCUGCCCUCAAGUGCUAGUUUUGGGGAGGGGGGAAUGACAUGGAGUAACAGAUAUUAAUACAGUUUCUGCUUGUGUGAACAUAUGUUAAUGAACUGAGAGUUGGGACUCAAAAGAAACAGCUGUUAAGAAUUUUUCAGCAUUCUUAGAAAAUCAGUGUCAUAAUUACUGAUAAUUUAGCAGAAUGACCAUUCCCAGCCGUUCCCUCUGUUUCAGGAGCAUGGGGAUGGCGAUGCAUUUCACUGCUGAUCAUUCAUUUCACUGAAUUCAUUUGCAUUAAAAGCAGCCUGGAAAGUCUAAGGAAUUUUUGCCAUGUCAGUCACACAGAAUUUGAUGUGAAAUAAACAAAAGGCUGUUUCUACUCAAGAAGCAGAAUGUUUUAUCAUGCAAAACAUCCACUACAAUUUUAAAACCUUGAUACCUUAACCUGGCAAUCUGCUUUCUCCAGUGUGGUCCACUGCAAUCACCUUCAGUGGUUUUCAGACCCUGGAACCACUGUUUUAUCACAUCCAUAUUUUAUAGUUUUCUUUUAAAAUUGUAUAUGCUGUUCUUCAAUAUAAAUAUUUCCAGGACAGGGAAGGGAAACAACAAUAGCCAAAACAAAUACAUAAGCAUAAAGCUAUACAGCAAUAUGACACCGGGGAGGAUGCAACGUAAAACAGACUCAGCAAUAUGAAAAGGCCCGGGAAAAUACAACACUCUUUACCUGGCAUCAGAAAGACAACACAGGUGCCAGAGAAUCCUCCCUGGAGACAACAUUCCACAAAUCUCAAAUGACAGCGGCACCUAGCAGAUGACCUCAGUGCUCAGGCAGGUCCAUGUUCCAGUACCCAGAUUCUAAACCAUUUACAUCUUACAAAAUGAGUGUCAACACUCUGAACUGUGCCCAGGUUUCAGGACUGAUUAUAUAUUUUCCUAUCUCCUAGUCACAAUUAGUAGCCUAAUCUGCAGUUUUCCACAGUUUUCCAAGGCAGACUUAUUACAAUCUAAUUUAUAGAUUAUCAAAACAUGGAUAGCUGUGGCCAGGUUAGCCCUGUCCAGGUGGGAUCACAGCUGAUCUACCAGUCCUCAGUUAUUGAAAAAUGUUAUGUACCACAAAUGCCACAUGGGUUUCUAGUGACAAAGCUGGCUUAGAGUAGUCCCAUAUCGAGAAUCUAAUCCUUCAGGUGAAGUGCAGUCCUUUACAAAACAGGUUGAACAUCACCUCCUUAGGGAGACCUACAAUGUUCCUUCAUUUUAGCUGGAUUGAUCCUCAGUUUAUUGACCUUCAUCUAAUCUGUUGCUGAUCCCAAACACCAAUUCAGCACUCUCACUACCUCAUCUGAAUUACAUAUAAAAGAGUAAUCUAGUUGGGUGUUAUAAGCAUGCUGGUGUUACCUUACUCCAGAUAGAAUAGGCUAUGGACACCGUUUAUGGAUGCAGAGGUUUCUAUGCAUGCAUCCGUAUUUGGAAGAUGAAUUGUGUGCAUUUUUUAAAGAAGUUACAGUCUUAGCUGUUAGUUUGGAAGUUGGAGAAGAUUCAGUUCAAUGUCCCCACCAAGCAGCUGCUCAGCUGAAUUUUGGCUUUUAAAAACAGACGCUAUGUGCAGGGAGCACAUGCUCCAUUUGAUUGGGGUGUCUGAAUUGUAUAAUUAUUGUGUACUACAGCUGUUCUUUCAAUAUUGUACUUUUGGAGAGGGGAUCAUAAUCUGGAACUCUAUCUAAUUAAUAUUACAAGAAAAGAAAGCAAUGGCACACACAUAGAGUUAAAUGUUAGUCCAGUAGUACAAGCCAGUUUCCAAAUUCCAAAGAAGCAGGUUGUUUUGAUCUCUGGGAGGAGUAUAAACGAGUAUCCAACAGUUGCAGGGAGGAGGUCAGGCUGGCAAAGCUCAGAAUGAGCUGAGGCUUGCAAGAGAGGCCAUGUUCAAAGCAAAGGGAAGAACAAGCAGGUAGUGGGUCUGCUGUGUGGAGAAGACAAAGAAAUGCUAUUGGGUGACAGAGAGAAGGCAAAACUGCUCAACAUCUCCUUGGCUCUGUCUUCACUCAAAAGGAAAUUGACUGAUUGAUUGAUUGAUUGAAUGAAUGAAUGAAUGAAUGAAUGAAUUUAUAUACCGCCCUAUACCCAGGGCUGUUCACAGAACAAUGCAGUGCCCAACCUGGUGAUAACAGAAUAAACUAUGUAAGGAGGGAGCCAAGGGUCUGGAAACUGAGCCUUAUGAGGGAUGGUUGAAGGAAUUGGGUAUGUUUAGCCUGGUAAAAAGAAGACUGAGCCAUCUUCAAAUAUCUAAAGGGCUGUUCACAUGGAGGCUGGAGCAAGCUUGUUUUCUCCUGCUCUGGAGGAUAGGGCCAGAACCAAUGGUUUCUGAGAGUGCCAUUUCUUUGUGAAGGAAAUACUUUGUUGUCUAGGAACUGUCUGUGUGCGACAAAACUCAGAUUUCCAGGUGCUCAACCCUUUAAACAAUGUUUCAAAGCACCCUUUAAAACAUCAAAUACAGUGGACGCUCGGGUUGCAAACAUGAUCCGUGUGGGAUGCACGUUCGCAACCCACAGCAGCGUUUCCGCACAAGCGGGUUGUGAUUUGGCGCUUCUGCGCAUGAGCAAAGCGCAAUUUAGCGCUUCUGCGCAUGUGUGACCUCCGAAAACCAGAAGUAACCCGUUCUGGUACUUCUGGGUUUCGGAGCGUCCGUAACCUGAAAAACGCAACCUGAAGCAUCUGUAACUCAAGGUAUGACUAUACAUUAAAGCCAUUGAUUACAUGUCCUGUCAAUUUCAAGAGUCUGGUAUGGUCUCAGGUUGAUGUAUUGAAUAGUAAUAUGCAAGUCUUUAUUUUGGAUUUUUAUUUUGCUCCACUUACUUGCUGCCACGUGAAAGUCCCUUAAUAACAUUUACAGUACAUUAGAAGUAACUUGAAGGCACACUAUGUCUUUGUAACUGACAGGUAGAAGAGAGUAGAGGUUAAGGAUUCCUUUGUUUGCUGAGCAUGUAGCCCCUCCUUCCUAGUUGCAUGACACCAUUAAGGGUUCAUAUUUAUUUAUUUUUAGUGUGAUGUAAAGCUUUAUUCCAAAUGCAAAACUGCAACUAAAUCAGAGACACUUGCAAGGUUUUUUUCUGUGAUCAGUUGGCCUGUGAUAACAAACCCUAAGGUCACUUUGGUCUUGGAUAUAUGUGAUCAUUAAUCAAAGGGUGAAGAGAAUGUGAGAGCACAGAAAAGAAUAGGAAAUAAUUAGAGUAUUUGACUCAUCACUGUUUCAUUCACUUCUGCAAUUGUGCAAAUAAAUGGACAUUAUGUAGGAAAUGCAGACAUAGGUCAAGUAUAAAAUAAAUUAAUAACCCAAAAAAGUGACUUGUCAAGUACUGUCUGGCUAAAAUACUCUGGGAUUCCCUGCCCAUGAAAAUAUAUUGUAUGAGGCAGGAUAACAACAUUGGAUCACUAAAUUCCAAAGCUACCUCUGAUACAAUUGGUGUAAAGAACAAGUCCAGUUCAUGCACUUAUAGCUUGACACUCAGUAAUAAUAAUUAUGAUGAUGAUGAUAACCCACAAACAAUUGUAGAGCCAGGAACACCAUGUGCCCUUUUCCCACUGCAGUCCCACUGCAGUCCCACCUGGCUACUUCUCAAGGUUGGGGUAUCUUCCAGACUAGAGUCUGCUACAAAGUGAGGCAAUACAGUCAGAAUUGGAAAUAAGAUACACAAUGAACACAUCAGACUGCUUUCCACUUAUGCAAGGACUCUGUGGGUGCUGACGUAGAGAUCUUAUUAAUUUUUUUGGCAGUAGGUCCAGCACAAAUGAAAUUCUUUGCAAUACAUAAUUCACUUGUUGAAUUCAUUACUACAAAAUGUGGUGUUGGCCACUCACUAAGUUAGUUUUGUAAAAUGAUAAACUCACAGAGGAUAGGUCAAUCAAGAAGAAGAAGAAGAAGAGUUUGGAUUUGAUAUGCCCCCUUUCACUCCCCUUCAGGAGUCUCAAAGCGGCUAACAUUCUCCUUUCCCUUCCUCCCCCACAACAAACACUCUGUGAGGUGAGUGGGGCUGAGAGACUUCAAAGAAGUGUGACUGGCCCAAGGUCACCCAGCAGCUGCAUGUGGAGGAGCGGAGACGCGAACCCGGUUCCCUAGAUUACGAGACUACCGCUCUUAACCACUACACCACACUGUCUCUCAAAUCAAUGGCUGUUCACUAUUUAAAUAUUCAUAUGCAAAGCCUUAUACUUCUGAUGACAACAUAAUUGGGCAUCCAAAAGGAGAUGGUUAUCGCCCUCAAAUCUUGUUGGAAGCAAAAGGCUGAGUAGAUGGUUCCUUGGUGUGCUUGAGGAAGAAAAUACAAUUGUUUACUCUGUGUGUUGCAGGGGGGUUGCUAUUAACUUUCACAAAAAGAGAACAUUAACAAUACCCUCAUAUGUUCUGUUUGUUGUGGUGGCUGGUCCAUUGGGGCUGGUAGUAAGUAAGGCAGGAUGCCAAGAGUAGGUGAAGCCAGAACCAGUGACAGGCAGAGCCAAAUAGUUUUGCCACUAUCAGUCUCAGAAUUGAGUUCUACGAAGGCAAUACUGAGACUAAGAACCAGAAUGCCUUCAUCCCCUGUAUGGGUUGUAAAAAAUGUAAGCAGGUGGGACCUAGCUGAGGGCAGGCUGAAGUUGGUGCAGCAGUGUCCCAUUUACCCUAAGGGAUCUGCCUUCACUGUUUGUUUGGUAACCUGCUUUCACUUAUACAGUCCUAGAUUAGUCUAGUUAGAUGGGGACUUUUUGCCAGGUAACCAAAACCUG